rnacentral:rRNA from 1 species
AUUGAACGCUGGCGGCAGGCCUAACACAUGCAAGUCGAGCGGAUGAGAGGAGCUUGCUUCUCGAUUCAGCGGCGGAUGGGUGAGUAAUGCCUAGGAAUCUGCCUGAUAGUGGGGGACAACGUUUCGAAAGGAACGCUAAUACAGCAUACGUCCUACGGGAGAACGCAGGGGUCCUGCGGGCCUUGCGCUAUCAGAUGAGCCUAGGUCGGAUUAGCUAGUUGGUGAGGUAAUGGCUCACCAAGGCGACGAUCCGUAACUGGUGUGAGAGGAUGAUCAGACACACUGGAACUGAGACACGGUCCAGACUCCUACGGGAGGCAGCAGUGGGGAAUAUUGGACAAUGGGCGAAAGCCUGAUCCAGCCAUGCCGCGUGUGUGAAGAAGGUCUUCGGAUUGUAAAGCACUUUAAGUUGGGAGGAAGGGUUGUAGAUUAAUACUCUGCAAUUUUGACGUUACCGACAGAAUAAGCACCGGCUAACUCUGUGCCAGCCGCCGCCGUAACAC